AGAGGAGCUGUUCCUAGUACGAGAGGACCGGAAUGGACGAACCAAUGGUGCUCCAGUUGUCGCGCCAGCGGCAUGGCUGGGUAGCUAAGUUCGGAAAGGAUAACCGCUGAAAGCAUCUAAGCGGGAAGCCCACCUCAAGAUUAGAUAUCCCUUAAGUAUGGAAACAUGCUUAACUAAAGAUCCCUUGAAGACUACAAGGUUGAUAGGCCAGGUGUGUAAGUGUGGCAACACAUUUAGCUUACUGGUACUAAUAGAUCGUGCGGCUUGGCCAUAAAACA
rnacentral:rRNA from 1 species